CCUACGGGUGGCAGCAGUGGGGAAUAUUGCACAAUGGGGGAAACCCUGAUGCAGCGACGCCGCGUGAGUGAAGAAGCGUUUCGGCGCGUAAAGCUCUGUCAGCGGGGAAGAAACACGGUUCGCGAGAGCCGCGGACGGUACCCGACCAAGAAGCCGCGGCUAACGACGUUCCAGCAGCCGCGGUAAUACGGAGGGGGCAAGCGUUAUCCGGAUUCCCUGGGGGUAAAGGGAGCGUAGACGGCGAGACAAGUCUGGAGCGAAAGGCCGGGGCCCAACCCCGGGACUGCACUGGAUACUGGCUGGCUGGAGUGCAGGAGAGGUAAGUGGAAUUCCUGGUGUAGCGGUGAAAUGCGUAGAUAUUAGGAGGAACACCAGUGGCGAAGGCGGCUUACUGGACUGUAACUGACGUUGAGGCUCGAAAGCGUGGGGAGCAAACAGGAUUAGAUACCCUAGUAGUC
rnacentral:rRNA from 1 species